GGAGUCAGACAGACUGUCGCCGCGGCUCAUUGAGCCGGGGAGGAAAGUCCGGGCUUCAUAGGGCAAGACGCUGGAUAACGUCCAGGUGGGGCGACCCACGGACAGGGCCACAGAAACAAACCGCCAGCCUCGGCUGGUAAGGGUGAAAAGGUGGGGUAAGAGCCUACCAGCUGUUGUGGUAACACAGCAGGCUAGGUAACCCCCGUUUGAAGCAAGACCAAAUAGGAAAGCGCUUGAGGCCGGCCCGGUCGAAGCUUUCGGGUAGGUUGCUGGAGACCACAGGUAACUAUGGUCCUAGAGGAAUGACAGUCACCCGCAAGGGGACAAAACCCGGCUUAUCGUCCGACUCCCUUU
rnacentral:RNase_P_RNA from 2 species